AACGAACGCUGGCGGCAGGCCUAACACAUGCAAGUCGAGCGAGGACUUCGGUCCUAGCGGCGGACGGGUGAGUAACGCGUGGGAACGUGCCCUUUGCUUCGGAAUAGCCCUGGGAAACUGGGAGUAAUACCGGAUGAGCCCUUUGGGGGAAAGAUUUAUCGGCGAAGGAUCGGCCCGCGUUGGAUUAGGUAGUUGGUGGGGUAAUGGCCUACCAAGCCGACGAUCCAUAGCUGGUUUGAGAGGAUGAUCAGCCACACUGGGACUGAGACACGGCCCAGACUCCUACGGGAGGCAGCAGUGGGGAAUCUUAGACAAUGGGGGAAACCCUGAUCUAGCCAUGCCGCGUGAGAGAUGAAGGCCUUAGGGUUGUAAAGCUCUUUCAGCUGGGAAGAUAAUGACGGUACCAGCAGAAGAAGCCCCGGCUAACUCCGUG
rnacentral:rRNA from 1 species